CUUCUAUAUAAUUAGAGACUUUCUUUCUUACCAAAAUUAAAUACUUCAUGCUCCAAAGUUCAAUUGGCAUGGAAAUUAAAUCAAUCAUUUAUUGAAAAUAAAUAGCAAGUGGAUAGAUAAGGCAUAAAUCAUCUCUAUACGUCACCUUGAAUUAUAAUUGGCACUCUUUAUAAGAAGUCACAAAUUUCUCUAUAUUCUUGUAUUAACCCUUCUACAAAUAGCAUUCUUUAAUCUUAGUAUAGGUAGCCCAAACGCUUCUAUAUCCAGUCCAUGAUAUAUUAUGAAAUUCACCAAAUAUCUUGUAUUUGAUCUUUAAAUCAUCUAUC
rnacentral:lncRNA from 1 species